GUGGUAAGUGCCUCUAUCAAUCACAGGGAGAUCAUGUCCUUGCCUGAAGAUGUGCAUAUAAAGAUACCCCAUACAGCAGCAUGCCCUGAGGGAGCUUGAUGGUAAUUUCAUGGGUGCCAAAUAUAUUAAUUGAGAUUCUCCUAGUCUAUCACAGUAACUAUGAUGCAGAAACAAAAGACUUGCCUGCCUUUCAGAUCUGCAAGCUGUUGAACUCUGAAUGGAAGAAUAACUCAGUUCAUACUCUCCCCUCACCAGCUUCUCUUCUUCACUGGCUGAAAUAAAGGAAAAAGUGAUCAAAAGAGACAGAGGGUUCAAGGGGGAACAUUGCUUUAGACUUGUCCAUAUAAGAAAAAACAAGUAGAAAUGCGUUGGCCAAGGAAGGCACAUGGACCCUAACUGAGGAGCUGCUGAUGUGAAACAUGCACAAGAGUCAGACGUGAGCAGCAGCAGCCUGGUGUGGAGCUUCCUUGAGCAUGGCCACAGCCUUGUAAAGAAACAUCACAGCCUUGGAAAUUAUGCUUGGAACUGGCAAGAAAGAGGAAACAGACUAGCAAUAUCCUUCCUUGCUGUUUAAUGAAAUACCAUUACAAAGUCAAUGAGAUGCACUAGAAGCUGGAACUAAAGCAAGUGUAGAAGUCUCCUCCCUUUCUCCUUCAAGUUCUUUUGGAAAGAAUACAAGAUUUGAUGCUCCUUUUAUGAAGGUGUGAGGUGGUAGGUAUUUUUGUGUGGUUGCAAGCCCCUUCUUCAUUGUUUGCAGGAACUGGGGGAAGUUGUGGAUUUAUACGAUGUUUGAGCCAAAAGCUGGGGGUUAGCAGUCUUGCCUGUGGUGAUGUUUGUCUGCAUCAUGGAAGAGUAACAAAUAAAAUUG